rnacentral:rRNA from 1 species
UACGUAGGGGUGCAAGCGUUUGUCCCGGAAUUAUUGGGCGUAAAGAGCUCGUAGGCGGUUUGUCGCGUCUGCCGUGAAAGUCCGGGGCUCAACUCCGGAUCUGCGGUGGGUACGGGCAGACUAGAGUGAUGUAGGGGAGACUGGAAUUCCUGGUGUAGCGGUGAAAUGCGCAGAUAUCAGGAGGAACACCGAUGGCGAAGGCAGGUCUCUGGGCAUUAACUGACGCUGAGGAGCGAAAGCAUGGGGAGCGAACAGG